rnacentral:rRNA from 1 species
AACACAUGCAAGUCGAACGAAGGUUUUACCUUAGUGGCGGACGGGUGAGUAACACGUGAGAAUCUACCCUUGGGAGGGGAAUAACAGUUGGAAACGAUUGCUAAUGCCCCAUAAGCUGAAAAGUGAAAUGAUUUCUCGCCCGAGGAUGAGCUCGCGCCUGAUUAGCUAGUUGGUAAGAUAAAAGCUUACCAAGGCAACGAUCAGUAGCUGGUUUGAGAGGACGACCAGCCACACUGGGACUGAGACACGGCCCAGACUUCUACGGAAGGCAGCAGUGGGGAAUUUUCCGCAAUGGGCGAAAGCCUGACGGAGCAAUACCGCGUGAGGGAAGAAUGCCCGUGGGUUGUAAACCUCUUUUCUUAGGGAAGAAGUUCUGACGGUACCUAAAGAAUAAGCAUCGGCUAACUCCGUGCCAGCAGCCGCGGUAAUACGGAGGAUGCAAGCGUUAUCCGGAAUCACUGGGCGUAAAGCGUCUGUAGGUGGCCUGGAAAGUCCGCUGUUAAAUCUUAGGGCUCAACCCUAAGCCAGCAGUAGAAACUUCUAGGCUAGAGUAUGGUAGGGGCAGAGGGAAUUCCCAGUGUAGCGGUGAAAUGCGUAGAUAUUGGGAAGAACACCAGAGGCGAAAGCGCUCUGCUAGGCCAUUACUGACACUCAGAGACGAAAGCUAGGGGAGCAAAUGGGAUUAGAUACCCCAGUAGUCCUAGCCGUAAACAAUGGAUACUAGGUGUUGAACAGAACGACUGUGCAGUACUAAAGCUAACGCGUUAAGUAUCCCGCCUGGAAAGUAUGCUCGCAAGGGUGAAAUUCAAAGGAAUUGACGGGGGCCCGCACAAGCGGUGGAGCAUGUGGUUUAAUUCGAAGCAACGCGCAGAACCUUACCAACCCUUGACAUCCUAGGACCGCUGGAGAGAUCCAGUUUUCUCGUAAGAGACCUAGUGACAGGUGC